CACAAAAACAAUAUGUAAUUAUAUAUGUGUUUUCCGAUGGUCUUAGGCGACCCCUGUGAAAGGGUCGUUCGACCCCCAAAGGGGUCGCGACCCACAGGUUGAGAACCUCUGGUUUAAGCAAUGUACUUAUAUAAUCCUCAAAUUGUGAAUUAGGUGGAAAUACUGAUGUUCAGCUCACACUCUUAAUUGCUAAAAAUCACCACUUGGCUAUGGGUAAGAAUUUAAGCCCAGGUAUUUGUCACCAAAGACUAUUCUUGUAUUAUCCAACCUAGGCUAACCUCGUCACCUUUUCAAAUCUUCAACAUUUAUUCCUUGCUGCCACCCUCCACCAUCUACCACAGUUAACUGAACUUACUUAUCUACUCUCCAGUGAAGUUGUGGCACCAGUUUUCUUUUCCUUUACCCUUUUAUGAGAUUAGUCUUCACUGCUCUGCUGUCUCUCUUUCCCUGUUUAUCCACAACCUAAUAAUCGCAUUUGAAACUUGGGUCAUCUGUUUUGCUUUCUAGUUAGCCAUGCUCAGUGAGGAGCCUUUCUCACUUCCCAAUGUAAAACCCAUCAUGGGGGGAAAGUUUAUACAAACACUAUUUCUCUUUAGCUCAUGAGGCAAUCUCAAAGAGUUGGCACAGCCCAGCAUUAACAUGAAAGUCUUGCUAGACCUGGAAACUGUUAUUACCCAAAGCACAUGAGCAUGUAUAUACUUAGAUCCAUGGAGAUCAAAGGGGAAAAAAUUAACCCCCCAUAGAUACAGGAAAGAGAAUGAAGGUUAGGUCCAAAUAGGUGGUUAGAGAAGAAGAAAAAAAUUCAAGGGAAAUGUGGCCUGCAGUGAGGUUCAUUUGUAAUGAUGUGCAUUUCAGCAUCCUAGCCCCAGGCUUACUAGUAAUGUGCUGCUUAUUCAUAGAUGGCCCAGUAAACUCUUGGUUUUUUAUGUUUUUUCCCCCCUUUCUUACGGAAUGAUAAGAAGUCAGUGCCGAGCUAAAUAUGUUUGAUCAAUAGUUGGGACCACUUAAUGGGUGAUGCCAGAAGAUGUCUGGGUACUAUAUUUGGGUACAAAGUCAUAACUUCUUAGUUUCUGUUUGGCUUUCUAUUUCUCCACUAAAUAAUUAGCCAUAGACUCAUAUUCUCUGACCAGUCUUGCCAGAUUUCCCCAUUGAUGAGCCUUGCUACAUCUCUCAGAAAACCAACUAUACGUUACAAUGGUUCUUUAAACCCUCAUUCCGAGUAGCCAAGAAUUCUAUGAGAGCAGGUUUACCUGCAGGGGUUGAUGCAGGAGGAACUUGCUGCUUCUGAGAGAUUUGGGCCCUUUGGGGGUAAAUGGGUGACGGAAGUGGAAUUCUUUGCAAGGUUUAAAUUCAGAGAAUCAUUCUAGAGAGUCUUGCAUAUGCAUGAAUGAUUUCUAAUACUUCACUCUUUGAUGUGAGGAAUUUGCCUUAAAUGUUGCAUUCAAAAAUAAAUCCCCAUUUUACAAAACGUCAGUGAAUGAAGAAUUUGUUUAGUUUCACUAUAUGUGUAAGACUACUGGGCAUGGCAGGUUUAGGAAAAUAUAAAAGGGAAGAGGAGUUCUUGUCCUUCAAGAUCUUGAAAUCAAGGUGGAAAAAUAACACUUGAAGAAAGCAACCCGUCUGGUUGAAUUGUAAGCUCAUAGAACAGCCAACAUAAUGUGAUAAGGACGAUUAGGAAACCAUCAUGGUUUAUUUUGCUUACUCAUUCCUCAGUUGGCUUCUACUCUACAUUUAAAGCUUUUGUUAGCCUUUAGUUUAUACUGCACCUGAGUGACUUCACCCAUUUCCAUUGCCUGCAUGCUUAUGACCCCAAGUCCAUCUCCAGGCACUCUUGAGAAGCCCAGAUUUGUAUCUGCAAUUGAGUAGCAGGUUUAGGUUUGGAAGGGAAGUUAAACUUGUUGCUUUGCUUCCCACCUGUAGUAAUCUCUUCCUUAGUAUCCUAAUGUCAGAGCCAUCUAGAUGGGCUAAGGAUUUCAAAUCACUUUUUAACUGAAUGCCUCAUUAAGCUUACCUACCUGGGUCUGAAAUUGAAGAAUGGGUAGUCAUCUAUUUUCUUAUCUGAAUCUCCUCUUAAGCCAGAGGUUCUCAACCUGUGGGUCUCAACCCCUUUGGGGGUCGAAGGACCCUUUCACAGGGGUCUCCUAAGACCAUCGGAAAACACAUAUACAAUUACAUAUUGUUUUUGUGAUUAAUCACUAUGCUUUAAUGAUGUUCAAUUUGUAACAAUGAAAAUACAUCCUGCAUAUCAGAUAUUUACAUUAUGAUUCAUAACAGUAGCAAAAUUACAGUUAUGAAGUAGCAACGAAAAUAGUUUUAUGGUUGGGGGUCACCACAACAUGAGGAACUGUAUUACAGGGUCGCAGCGUUAGGAAGGUUGAGACCCACUGUCUUAAACCUUUCCUGAUGUUCAUAGUGCCCUUGCCUCUGGCCGUUCCUCCCCACAGACAGUCACAGUGGUUUCUGUUUUCUCUACCCUUGUUGUACAAGGGUAAAACUGAGUUGGUUGUGUUAUAAUCCCUAACAUCCUUAAAAGAUCAUCAUUUAAGGCAGCGGUUCUCAACCUGAUUAAUUGUGGUUGAAAAUCCCUUCAAACUAUAAUAAUAUUUUAUGGAAUAAAAAAAGGUUUAAAGAAACAAAAGAGAUGGAUAAGUAAAGGGAUAUUGAAUAGAUUAGUGACAAGCAUUUGUAUAAUUGUUCUCCCUUUCUGAAUGAGGAAAAUAAAAAAAUAUAAAACAUGAGUGAGAACAAUGAUGGCAGAUUUGUUUUUAAAACUUUUUAAAAAAUAUAUUGAGAUGAUUUCAAGUUGACUGAGAGCAGCUGUGCGAUUUCCAUUACCACUGAAAAACAAUAGCAGUGGGAGUCAGUCUACCUUUUCAUUAAUAGCAGUUUGACAGAAGAUGACAGGGGUGCUUGGUGUUUGAUGCCAUUCUGAACUUAAGAGAAUAAAUGGUAUUAAGCAGCCAAGUAGCUCUUCUAUUCCCCUUUUUAUACGUGAUGUCUCUUGUGUGUCUGACAAAGUAUCUGCCUUCCAAGUAACCUUGCUGUUGUCUACAGAUAGCCUCAGUUUUCUGUCUUUUCCUGGUUAAUUUCUUUAUCCUCACGCAAGAUUUACAAAGGAAGACCUGAGUAGAUUUGUUUGGUAUAAAUUGACACAAGCAAUAGCACUUUGUCAUUGUGUAUGUGAGAGGGGAAAUGUGUAAGUUUCAUUCUUUAUAAAAGACCUAUUUGAUAAGUCUUUUAUUGUAUAAGGCAUGUAAAGAAACAUCUUUGUUGCAGAAAAGUGUAAGGGUUCCAUGGCAACUGAUAACCAGAGGCAGCAUUUAACAUAUAAUUAAACACCGCUAUUAUCUCUUAUUUUCAUUAAGUGUUUAGGACUACCUUAUUUUACUCUGUAUAGUACAGAUAUUUUAAUGAAAAUUUAAGGUAAUGUGGAAAAAUCAAUUAUUCAUGAAUUAAUGGGGAAAAUUGUGCUCCAUAUAUAAAAUAAUAAGUCUCUUUGAGAAACAACGACCCCCUUUUAAUUUCAGUACUUUGUUAGUACCUUUAAUGUGACUAUGACAUCUUGUCUUUUAUUCAUUCAUCUCAAACAGUGGUUCUCAACCUUGGCUGCACAUUAGAAUCACCUGGGAAUCUUUUUAAAAUCCUGAUUUCUGGGACUCAUCCUCCGGAAAUUCUGUUUCUUUGUUAUGGGGUGGGGCCACAACAUUAGUCACAAAGAAACAGAAUUUCUGGAGGAUGAGGCCCAGAAAUCAGGAUUUUAAAAAGAUUCCCAGGUGAUUCUAAUGUGCAGCCAAGGUUGAGAACCACUGGUCUCAAAUAUUUAUCUACUCCAUCACUAAAAAUUUAAAUAUUCAUUCCCCAGUUUCUUGCAGAACCUAGGUUAUCCUGAACCUGAAAUUAAAUCUAUAUAUUUUGUAUAUUACAAAGAUAACUCUUGUGAUCUUAAAAAGGAAGGAAAUCUCACCUUUUGUGAAAGCAUGGAUGGACCUGGAAAAUAUGCUAAUUGAAAUAAACCAAUCAGAAAAAGACAAGUACCAUAUGAUUUAACUCCGGUGGAAUCUAAUGAACAAAGUCAACUACGUAAUAAAAUAGAAACAGAUUCAUGGAUAGACUGACAGCUGUGAGAGGGGAGGGGAGUUGCAGGGCUGGGUGAAAAUGGUG